GUGCUUGCUUUGACAGCACAUAUACUAAAAAAUUGGAAUGAUACAGAGAAGAUUAGCAUGGCCCCUGUGCAAGGAUGACAUGCAAAUUCAUGAAGCAUUCCAUUAAAAA
ensembl:snRNA U6 U6 spliceosomal RNA